AUUGAACGCUGGCGGCAGGCCUAACACAUGCAAGUCGAGCGGAGCGGCGGACGGGUGAGUGAUGCCUAUGAAUCUGCCUGGUGGUGGGGGAUAACGUCCGGUAACGGGCGCUAAUACCGCAUACUCUCAGAUGAGCAUAGGUCGGAUUAGGUAGUUGGUGGGGUAAAGGCCUACCAAGGCGACGAUCCGUAACUGGUCUGAGAGGAUGAUCAGCCACACUGGAACUGAGACACGGUCCAGACUCCUACGGGAGGCAGCAGUGGGGAAUAUUGGACAAUGGGCGAAAGCCUGAUCCAGCCAUGCCGCGUGUGUGAAGAAGGUCUUCGGAUUGUAAAGCACUUUAAGUUGGGAGGCGUUACCAACAGAAGAAGCACCGGCUAACUUCGUGCCAGCAGCCGCGGUAAUUC
rnacentral:rRNA from 1 species